rnacentral:pre_miRNA from 1 species
GGGGGGAGACAUGGAUCCUGGGCUGUGUUCCCCAGCGCCCUGGGCUCCAGGGCCAGUGCCGGGCAAGCUGCUCCCAAGGCUGUGCAGCCCCCU